UGAGCUCUGACAUGACAGUUCCA
rnacentral:piRNA from 1 species